AGUGAACGCUGGCGGUAGGCCUAACACAUGCAAGUCGAACGGAAGCACAGUAAGAGCUUGCUCUUACGGGUGGCGAGUGGCGGACGGGUGAGGAAUACAUCGGAAUCUACUUUUUCGUGGGGGAUAACGUAGGGAAACUUCCGCUAAUACCGCAUACGUCCUACGGGUGAAAUCAGGGGAUCUUCGGACCUUGCGCGAUUGAAUGAGCCGAUGUCGGAUUAGCUAGUUGGCGGGGUAAAGGCCCACCAAGGCGACGAUCCGUAGCUGGUCUGAGAGGAUGAUCAGCCACACUGGAACUGAGACACGGUCCAGACUCCUACGGGAGGCAGCAGUGGGGAAUAUUGGACAAUGGGCGCAAGCCUGAUCCAGCCAUACCGCGUGGGUGAAGAAGGCCUUCGGGUUGUAAAGCCCUUUUGUUGGGAAAGAAAAGCAGCAGGUUAAUACCCCGCUGUUCUGACGGUACCCAAAGAAUAAGCACCGGCUAACUACGUG
rnacentral:rRNA from 1 species